AAGGGCUUAGCUUAAUUAAAGUAUCUGUUUUGCAUGCAGGUGAUGUAGGUUGGAGGCUUGCAGUCCUUA
rnacentral:tRNA from 1 species